rnacentral:rRNA from 14 species
CUGAGACACGGGCCAGACUCCUACGGGAGGCAGCAGUAGGGAAUAUUGGGCAAUGGACGAAAGUCUGACCCAGCCAUGCCGCGUGCAGGAUUGACGGCGCAUAGCGUUGUAAACUGCUUUUCUCAGGGAAUAACUACCCAUUCGUUGGGGGCUGAAUGUACCUGAGGAAUAAGCACCGGCUAACUACGUGCCAGCAGCCGCGGUAAUACGUAGGGUGCAAGCGUUGUCCGGAUUUAUUGGGCGUAAAGAGCUCGUAGGCGGUGUGUCACGUCUGCUGUGAAAAUCCAAGGCUCAACCUUGGACCUGCAGUGGGUACGGGCACACUAGAGUGCGGUAGGGGAGAUUGGAAUUCCUGGUGUAGCGGUGGAAUGCGCAGAUAUCAGGAGGAACACCGAUGGCGAAGGCAGAUCUCUGGGCCGUAACUGACGCUGAGGAGCGAAAGCAUGGGGAGCGAACAGGAUUAGAUACCCUGGUAGUCCAUGC